rnacentral:snoRNA from 1 species
CACUCCUGUUUCUGCCCUAAAUUCAUCCUCAUUGAAUUAUAGGUUCUGGUGAUGGAGAAGAUCAAGCCCGUCAACGGCCGUUGGUGAAUCUGUCAAAUGUUUGUAACCUCGCCUUCGGCUUUUGGCGGGAUCGUGUGGCUGGUCAGUGUUCGAAGACAAGGCAUUUUCUGGUGCUAGUCGGCUGGCCUCUACUACAUUC